AUGACCGAUGCAAAACUGCCGGAUGCACAAUAUGGCCUUGAAAAAGCGUUGACGUUUUCGCUGGCCGCUCAUGCCGGAGCGAACCGCGUUUGCGAGUUCGG
rfam:Ruegeria sp. ANG-S4 contig_2, whole genome shotgun sequence.